AUAAUUAAGGAUCCCCUAGUACGGCGAGUGAGCGGGAAGAGCUCAAAUUUGAAAUCUGGUAGCCUUCGGUUGCCCGAGUUGUAAUCUAGAGAAGUGUUUUCCGUGCCGGCCCAUGUACAAGUCCCUUGGAACAGGGCGUCAUAGAGGGUGAGAAUCCCGUCCUUGACAUGGACCCCCGGUGCUUUGUGAUACACUUUCAACGAGUCGAGUUGUUUGGGAAUGCAGCUCAAAAUGGGUGGUGAAUUCCAUCUAAAGCUAAAUAUUGGCGAGAGACCGAUAGCGAACAAGUACCGUGAGGGAAAGAUGAAAAGCACUUUGGAAAGAGAGUUAAACAGUACGUGAAAUUGUUGAAAGGGAAACGAUUGAAGUCAGUCAUGCUCUUGGGACUUACCUCCCUUGAGUGGGGUCAACAUCAGUUUUGAUCGAUGGAUAAAGGCACGGGGAAGGUAGCACUCUCGGGUGAACUUAUAGCCUCGCGUCAUAUACAUUGAUUGGGACUGAGGAACGCAGCAUGCCUUAUGGCCGGGAUUCGUCCACGUACAUGCUUAGGAUGUUGACAUAAUGGCUUUAAACGACCCGUCUUG
rnacentral:rRNA from 1 species